UCCAACAAUGAUUACUGUCACUUUCUGAGAUUUGGUAAUUACGCAUUCUUUCCAGCUAAGGGUCGGUAAUAGUGCAGCUUCCACCGGCCCUGGGUUACUGUGCUCUCACCUGGAUCACUCUGGUUUCUCUUACCCAUACUUUGGGAAAUAGUCCCCACACAAUAAAAUCUCCUGAAGUUAUUUCAUUUUGAGAGUGCCAUCUGCUUCCUGUUGGGAGUCUGACUGAUACUUCUAUUUCCUCUCAUACUUCGACAACAUAUUUCAGGUUCGAACUCAAACACUACCUCUUUCCUUCCUACCACCCCAUCUCACCACCACACGCAGAAUUAUUUGGCCAGCACUCUGACAGCCCACCAUUCCUAAGCUCUCCUCCAUUGUGGUUCUUACUGGAUUCUAUGGGAGUUGUUUCUUGUAUGUCUGGUUUAUUCCUCCCUUUCCACACCAGACGGUGAGCUCUUCAAGGCAGGCAUGCAUUUUACUCACUUCUGGUCUCCGGUGUUUUGCUUUGCUCCUUUUUGUGAGCAUGCUCAGGCCAGCCAUGGGUUGCUGGCAAGGGUCACUCUAGUUUUAUAGGAUGCAUCAUCUUCUUCCUAGAAUUGCUGCUUAUGACAUUUAAUCCAUACCGGGCACUGUGCGUUGAUUUUUCUAACUCUGUUGAGAAACUUGGCAUGAUGAUAUCUACAUAAUCAGGGAACCAGAGGAGGUGAUCUUGCUCAGUAGGACCUGAAGAAAAACUCUGUCCCAAUUUGCAUUAUGAUUAGUAAACCCAAUCAAGUCACGUCCUAUCAAUCACUGUAUAUUAAGAAUCUACUAUGUGCCAAGAGCUGCAUUCACCCUAGUAGAAUGACAGGACUUUCAGAUAAGAGCUUUUGGACACCUUACAAAGAGACUUGGAGACAAAAAGUAAGCAGAGACAAAACACAUUCUUCUUAUUUUGAGCUCCCAGGUUGGGCAAUAAUGCCGGCUCAAGAAGUCACAGAGUCUUCCCUCCUUCCCCCUUUACUUCUUUUUCUUAUCCUUCCUGGCAGGAGAGUCCUGCAGCCUAAAAUGCCAAAGUUUUGUAGUAAAUAAAGGCUCUGCUCAGAAUUUUCUCACUACGGGCAGAGACGUAGAAAGCCAAGUAUGACACAGGCUAAGAUUCUAAAUGGCGAUUUGACUUGGUUAUCACCUAGAACCCAAGGCUUGUAUGACUGUCCAUAGCAUCACAGGCAUCAGGGUGGUGGGGACUGCUGUCCAAGGCCCCUUUUUGGUCACUAUCUCCUUCUGUCUUCUGUCAUCUAUCCCUGAACUUCGUGGGUUCCAGCGGAGAUGGAUCAGUCUGCACAGCUAGAAUCCUCCUGGUCACAGCACAUGUCCCAAGGAAGCCUUAUGCCACUCAGGUCAUCAUAUCCAUGGACUCAGAUGAAUCCAAUGACAAGACUGGGAAUUUCCAAGGCAGACAUAUGAGUCUCCUCUGAUGCUUCACCUACACGCUUCAGAUUCCACAGGCCCAGGGGGGCGAGGAAGCUGCACAAAGAAGGACCAGCAGGAGCCCAGAAUCUUCAAUGUUGGAGGAAGUCAUGGAGAGGACGUGACCACAGUUUGACCCCCACAAGCCAGGCGGGCAAUCAGAGGCUCCUCACCCCUCCCCCGUCCUUGGACUCAAUCACCUUCACACAGUGGGGGCCCCCGCUUUCAAGGUAGAGGCCUUGAGGGGGCUAACUGUUGUUGAGGCCUUUGGGAGGUUUACACGGCUUGACCCAGUUAAGGCUUCUAAGUAAACGUUUAAGAUUCUGGUGUGUGGGGAGCCUGGGUCGUUCAGUCUGUUAAGCUGCUGACUCUUGAUUUCAGCUCAGGUCAUGAUCUCAUGGUUUGUGAGAUCUAGACCCACUCAGAGCUCUGUGCUGACAGGGCGGAGCCUGCUUGGGAUUCUCUCUCUCCCUUUCUCUCUGCCCUCUCUCUGUGCACACACGUGCUCCCCCCCCCC